GAUAUAUAUCACACUCAUUUCACCUGAGUAAGGUCCCUUAGGGCAUCAUGUUGCCUUUGUAAUUGUAGCCUAGAUCUACAUUCCAACACCUAGUACUAAUUUGACAUUUUCAUUAUAGGAUCAAAGGGAAAUAAAGGUGCUCAGGUGGCGAGAGACCAACUUUUUUCAAGUCGUAGUUGGACAGCGGCUAUCCAUGACGCACAUGAUGACAUCAUGUUCUGAUGGCGUGGAGCUCCACUCCACAGAAAAUACUGUGAUAAAGGAAGUGGAAGAAGCGUUUCACGUUGUGGCCUUUAAAAUAAAAGGUGAACACGUGGAGCUUGUCAACGCCAACAAUGCCACCAAAACGGUUCCUUUGGUUGAGUGGAACCAAAGAUUCCCCGAGGGCCCUAAUUUUCCCCCAGAGGGGUUUUUGUGGUAGUUUUGUUUUAUAUUUUGUUCUAUUGUUUGUAUUUCUUGUUACUUGUUUGUUGUUCUGUUUAAAAUGUUCUAUGAUUAAAGUUUAAAUUUAAAUGCA